rnacentral:rRNA from 1 species
AGCGAACGCUGGCGGCAGGCCUAACACAUGCAAGUCGAACGAACUCUUCGGAGUUAGUGGCGGACGGGUGAGUAACACGUGGGAACGUGCCUUUAGGUUCGGAAUAACUCAGGGAAACUUGUGCUAAUACCGAAUGUGCCCUUCGGGGGAAAGAUUUAUCGCCUUUAGAGCGGCCCGCGUCUGAUUAGCUAGUUGGUGAGGUAAAGGCUCACCAAGGCGACGAUCAGUAGCUGGUCUGAGAGGAUGAUCAGCCACAUUGGGACUGAGACACGGCCCAAACUCCUACGGGAGGCAGCAGUGGGGAAUCUUGCGCAAUGGGCGAAAGCCUGACGCAGCCAUGCCGCGUGAAUGAUGAAGGUCUUAGGAUUGUAAAAUUCUUUCACCGGGGACGAUAAUGACGGUACCCGGAGAAGAAGCCCCGGCUAACUUCGUGCCAGCCGCCGCAGUAA